GCGGCAACCCUUCUCCACCGCUUGACAACAUUCCCAUCGGUUGAGACUUGAGAGCUUGUGUGUUUUCUUUUUCUUUUCUGGUCUUAGAUAGAUCUGUCAAUGAGAGACUCUUCGCAUUCUUGAUUUUGUGUGGGAGAGCCGAGAAUGUUUGGAUGCUUGGAUUUAUUCUCUUGGACAUAUGAUGGUGGAGACGAAGUAGGAGGAGGCAAUAAAGACCCGGGAGCGAGAUUUGUUGGUAGAGGCAAUGGAGGAGAACUAAUUGGUGGAAUACAAAUAGAAGAAGAAGAGCACGGUUGAGUAUGAAAUUCUGCCAAAAAAUCUACAGAGACCAAUAAUUGCACCAAAAACAAGUACGAAAGAACUGCACAACAAAUCGAAGCGAGCUCGGACAUUUUUUAUUCACGAAUCUUCAACAAAAACAACAGUGAGAAGAGAAUUAACGUUGGAGGCACUGUGACAAAUAUGGGGAAUUCGAAAAAAAAAAGAACGACAACAAGGCGAAAGGUCAUCGAGAGACGUGGUUGGGCUAGCAAGUUGAAUUGGAUCAUCGGAUGCACACCCGCACUUCGUCUGCCUCGUCAAGGGAACCCCUGGCCUUCUCCUGUUCAUCAACUCGAACCUCAUUCUUCUGCAGUUGAUGUUACGGAUCAGCCCCACUCUUCAGGCCAGCAGCUUUGCUCAGCAUCUUCUGGGUAGAGUUCUUUUUAUCACAAGUCGUUCUUGAACUCUGAAACAAGCUCUCUGAUCUCCUCGGAAUGGUCAUUGAUUGGUAGGGGUGGCUUGGGAAUAGCCCUUAAAAAAAGGGAAAAACUUGUUAGUUCAUAAUGCAUUAGUAAAAGUUUAAUAAUUA